CCACUCCUACCCCCUGCAGGGCGUUCGUCACUCUUGUUAUCUCAGCCCUGCAGUGUGGACUUGAGACAAACAUACCUGCUCGUGUCAGUCCGAGGGACCUGGAUAAACAUCUGUCCUUCUGCAGGGGAUGAAACUGAUGCUUAGGAGAAGCGGCCUGUCCAAAGCCACACAAUCUGCUUGUCAAGGAACACUCGUCACCAAUGACAGAUGAAGCCCCCAAACCCAGCCGCGUUUCAUCCUCAUGAAGUUCAGUCGGUGCUCCUCAAUACGCGGCAGCUCUCCUCAAGUGGGGAUGGAGGAGCCCAGGCGUCCCCUGUCUUGUAGCUCUGCCUCCCCUGGACGGGGUGGGGGUGGGGAGGAGGACAGCCUGGCUCUGGCGUUUGCCCACCAGCUGUAGGUCAGAAUCCUGGCCCGUGACCACACCCAGCCCGAAGGGAACCUGACGUCGCCGCCUUGCUGUGUGUCUAGGAAGGGAGGAAAUGGGAGUUGGUGAGCGCCUGGCCAGACUGCUACGUGUAGCUCAUAACUUGGAAUUUGCAUCCAGGAAUGUCUGCAGACCCACACUUAGCAGCACCCUACUGGAAUUACAAGUAGUUUCCCUCCAAGACAAUUUGCCACCACCAGAGUUGGAGCUUCGCCCCUGCCCCCGGCUUGUUUAUAUUCCUGAAAGCAGUUCCACAUGGAGCAAAUAAAAUUCGGCAAACAAA